CAACCUGUCACACAAAUCAGGCAGGAUGGAACUCCACCCGGAAUAGACUGGCAUCGGCGUGGAAGUCUGUUACAAACAUUAAAGCCUCCACCUCAGUUCAGAGUGAUCCCUUAUUUGCCUGAAAUUUGGGAACAGUCUCACUACCUGGCAUCAGGCCACUAUGCAUACAACCUUGGAGGGGGAGCGACUAACAUCUACUGCACACCUGCCGAGGCCUUUUGUGUAUUUUAUCACACUCACCCUGGCAGCAAUGCAUGAGUUCACAGGCAAGGAACAGAAUGUUUCGCCCAAGGAUGAUUCCGCCCCUGUGGAGCCAACCCACGGCCAUGGCCUUCUGAGCAGGGGCAUUAACUGAGCCAAAUGUGCAGGAAAAGAACUAAUGAGGUGCAGGGCCUGGAGGCGACGUCGUUGACCACCGCCAAGAGGCUGCAUGGGGCCCAGCUCAGAGUCCAGCUCAGAGGGGUGACAAAGAAGAGAGUCCUUGACACUGCCCUUGAGAUGUCCAUAGUCUAAUUGUGACAAUAAUAUAUUUAAGAACUCGAGGCCAUUUAGAAGAUGAAGAGAAGAUAUUAGGGAGGUGGGGUGAGGGUAUAGAAAAACUGAGGUGCCCCAGCCUGCUGUGUGACCUUGAGUCUCCUUAACAUCUUGGCUCCUCAGCUUCCCUGUCUAAGAAAUGAGGUCAAUGCCAUCUGUCCUUUUUCAUUUAGGCCUUGCGUGGUGAAUGAAGUGACAGGUGGAGGGUCCUGCAGAGGAGAGAGAACUGGAACGUGGGCCUGCCGUGGGAGGUUUCUCUCUGCCCACUUCCUGUCCCUUCUUAAGGAAUGCUCAGAGCAGGGGACUUUAUCCCUCCUCAUCCCAAGCUGAAAAGUUAAGCAAGAUGUGACCUUGCUAUGUGAGAUUUGAUAAUCAAAAAUCCAAUGGUUAGUCUAGCCUAUCUCUGUAAAGAAACACAAGAAACUGGUAACACUGCUUUUCCCUGGGGAGGAGAGCCGGGCAAUUGAGUGAAAGGCG
rnacentral:lncRNA from 1 species